AUGGAGACAAAGACAAAAAGAAGAAGAAAGAGAAAAAGCAGGAUGGACAUGAUGAUGACAGUAGCAGCAGCAGCAGCAGCUCAGACAGUGAUUCUGAGAAGGGUCACAAGAAAAAGAAGGAAAAAGACUAACUUUGUGAUUACCUACAACUCCACAGAGACCUCAGCAGAGCUUGCUUCAGGACAUUUGAUAACAUUCUACCUGGAAGAGGAACAAGAAUGAUCUGACUUUAAUCCAAAAUAAAGUAUCUUUGUUGUAUUUUACAUUAAAGUAGCUAUGCUCUGUUUACUGCUUUAACUUCCUUCAUAAAAU